rnacentral:rRNA from 1 species
UACGAAGGGGGCUAGCGUUGCUCGGAAUCAUUGGGCGUAAAGCGCACGUAGGCGGAUCUUUAAGUCAGGGGUGAAAUCCUGGAGCUCAACUCCAGAACUGCCUUUGAUACUGAGGAUCUCGAGUCCGGGAGAGGUGAGUGGAACUGCGAGUGUAGAGGUGAAAUUCGUAGAUAUUCGCAAGAACACCAGUGGCGAAGGCGGCUCACUGGCCCGGUACUGACGCUGAGGUGCGAAAGCGUGGGGAGCAAACAGG